rnacentral:rRNA from 1 species
ACCUGGUUGAUCCUGCCAGCAAUCAUAUGCUUGUCUCAAAGAUUAAGCCAUGCAUGUCUAAGUAUAAGCAAUUAUACAGCGAAACUGCGAAUGGCUCAUUAUAUCAGUUAUAAUCUACUUGAUCGAUUCUGUUAUUUGGAUAACUGUAGGAAUUCUAGAGCUAAUACAUGCAAAAGGACCGGAGCGGGGGUAACCUUGUGAAGGUCGCGUUUACUAGUCCAGAAACCAAGAUGGGGUGCAAACCUCAUUCAACAGAUGAUUCAUAGUAAGCUUGACGCGAAUCGAGGCUUUUGUCUCGAUGAUGCAAACGAGUUUCUGCCCUAUCAACUUUCAAUCGUAGUGUAGGGGACUACGAUGGUUGUAACGGGUACGGGGAAUUAGGGUUCGAUUCCGGAGAGGCCGCCUGAGAAACGGCGACCACUUCCAAGGAAGGCAGCAGGCGCGUAAAUUAUCCAAUCCCAAUUCGGGGAGAUAGUGACAAGAAAUAGCGGUGUAGGACCUCAAUGGUUCUACGAUCGCAAUGAGUACAAUUUAAAAACCUUAACGAGGAACAAUUGGAGGGCUAGUCUGGUGCCAGCAGCCGCGGUAAUUCCAGCUCCAAGAGUGUAUAUUAAAGUUGUUGCGGUUAAAAAGCUCGUAGUUGGACCUUGGGAUUGAGUACAUCAGUUCCUUAGAACUUCGGUUCUAGGGGUUAUAAUCGAGUAAUUCUUUCUCUAUUCUCGGAACGUUCACGGCUAGCAAUAGUCGGUUUCGUAGGAUUUACUUUGAAUAAAUUAGGGUGUUUAAAGCAGGCAUAAAAGCCUUGAAUACAUUAGCAUGGGAUAAUAAAAGAUGACCUUUGGUCUAAACUUUAUUGGUUUCUAAGGCCUAGGUAAUGAUUGAUAGGGAUAGUUGAGGUCGCUCGUAUUCAGUGGUCAGAGGUGAAAUUCUAAGACCCACUGAGGACGAACUAAUGCGAAGGCAUUCGACAAGGAUGUUUUCAUUAAUCAAGAACGAAAGUUGUGGGAUCGAAGAUGAUUAGAUACCGUCGUAGUCACAACCGUAAACUAUGUUGACUCAGGAUUUGGGGAUGUUACAUGGAUGACUCUCCAAGCACUGUGUGCGAAAGCAUAAGUAUUCGAACUCCGGGGGGAGUAUGGUCGCAAGGCUGAAACUUAAAGGAAUUGACGGAAGGGCACCACCAGGAGUGGAACCUGCGGCUUAAUUUGACUCAACACGGGGAAACUUACCCAGUCCGGACACAACGAGGAUUGACAGAUUGAUAGCUCUUUCUUGAUUUUGUGGAAGCCGGUGCAUGGCCGUUUUUAGUUGGUGGAGUGAUUUGUCUGGUUUAGUCCGAUAACGAACGAGACCAUAUUCUAUUAAAUAGUAAAUCUAACAAGAGAACUUUCGAGAUUGAAGGGUUCGCUCUUCUUUUUUGAGGGUUUUCAUCAAAUUGUUGGAAAAUAUACUUCUUAGAGAGACUCUUGAUGAAAAAAAAUCAAUGGAAGACUAUGGCAAAAACAGGUCUGUGAUGCCGCUCGAUGUCUGGGGCUGCACGCGCGUUACACUGAAGUGUUCAACAAGUAUAAAUUAAAUAACCUAACCCGAGGGGGUCUAGGUAAUCUUUUAAAGCAUUUCGUGAUGGGGAUUGUGCCUUGCAACUAUUGCACAUGAACGAGGAAUUCCUAGUAGGGGUAGGUCAUCAACCUGCCCCGAUUACGUCCCUGCCCUUUGUACACACCGCCCGUCGCUUCUACCGAUUGAAUUAUUCGAUAAGGACUCGGGAUUGGGGGGUUAACUCUUUGGCCGAAAGGUUGGGGGGUCCUUCUGAAAACCUGUUCGAAUCUCAUAAUUUAGAGGAAGAAGAAGUCGUAACAAGGUCUCCGUAGGUGAACCUGCGGAAG